CAAGAGCGUAUAUUAAAGUUGUUGCAGUUAAAAAGCUCGUAGUUGGAUUUCUGGUAUAAUGCGCCUGGCCCGCUCCGUUUCGGAGUGAGUGCCGGUGCGCGUUUGCCAUCCUUCUAGAAAACGUUUCUACCCUUCGCUGGGCCGGAUUCGCGAUCUAGAUCUUUUACUUUGAAAAAAUUAGAGUGUUUAAAGCAGGCUUUUGCUAUGAAUACAUUAGCAUGGAAUAAUAAUCUAGGACUUCGGUUCUAUUUUGUUGGUUUCUAGUACUGAAGUAAUGAUUGAUAGGGAUAGUUGGGGGUGCUAGUAUUGACCGGCCAGAGGUGAAAUUCUUGGAUUCGGUCAAGACUAACUUAUGCGAAAGCAUUCACCAAGGAUGUCUNCUUUA
rnacentral:rRNA from 1 species